CGAUGCGAUAAUAAACGUGUAAGUCUACGAUAGACUAUACUGAUUGAUGGAUUACAUAGUUCAUGAUCUACGACGGUCUAUUAAGUGUCAUCACCAGUCCAAGAUCAUCUAUUUAAAUCAUUUUUAAUGUAAUUGUUUUCUUCCACCGGCCCCAAAACAUGUGAUUAUCCAUUUAAAUCAUAUUAUAUUUAAUUAUUUUCUUCUACCUGCCCCAAAAC
rnacentral:lncRNA from 1 species